GACUGAGUUCACUUUUGUUGCCCAGGCUGUAGUGCAAUGGAACGAUCUUUGUUCACCACAGCCUCCGCCUCCCGGGUUCAAGCGAUUCUCCUGCAUCAGCCUCCCGAGUAGCUGGGAUUACAGGCACCCGCUACCACGCCCAGCUAAUUAUUUGUAUUUUAGUAGAGACGAGGGUUUCACCAUGUUGCCCAGGCUAGUCGCGAACUCCUGAGCUCAGGCAAUCCGCCCGCCUCAGCCUCCCAAAGUGCCUGGGAUUACAGGCGUGAGCCACCGCGCCCGGCAUAGUUAACUCUUUCAUACUUUGCAUUUUUUCACACCCUCUUCUUCCUGUUUGCUCAUUUCGGUCACAUGCUCUGUGUCGGCUGUGCAAAAUACUGUUUCCACCAUCUUUGUGCAUUUUGUUUUUGUUGUACAUCCCAGAAGCCCCAAUUCCUUACUACACAUUCUUCCAUCAAGCUACUUUCAGCUCUUUUUUUUUAAAGGAAGGAGUAAAAGGGCAGAGCAAGGCAGGACUGUAACAGAAGUUACCUCGAAAUGGAAAUAUAUGAUGGGGGCUGAUAGGCGGUUGAAAAUAAUCAGUAUUUGGAGAAUUAUGAGAAGAGCAGCCGAGACUGGAGCAGCCACCACAGGAUAUUCUCAUUUGGGCUGAGUUUGGAAACAACAGCCAAUGUUUACUAAAUGAUUCCAGUGCUGAGGGCUUUAUAUGUAUUUUUCUUCAUAAUGUCCUGAGGAGUUAAGUUCUUUUUUUUUUUUUUUUUUGAGACGGAGUCUCGCUCUGUCACCCAGGCCAGAGUGCAAUGGCGCGAUCUCGGCUCGCUGCAACCUCUGCCUCCUGGGUUCAAGCGAUUCUCCUGCCUCAGCCUCCUGAGUAGCUAGGAUUACAGGUGCCCGCUACCAUGCCCGGCCAAUUUUUUUGUAUUUUUAGUAGAGAUGGGGUUUCACUAUGUUGGCCAGGCUGUUCUCGAACUCCUGACCUCGUGAUCUGCCUGCCUCAGCCUCCCAAAGUGCUGGGAUUACAGGCGUGAGACACCGCGCCUGGCUGAGUUAAGUUCUCUUCUUGUAAAAGGGGAGCUGAGGCUUAAGAGAGGUCACAGAGCUCACACAUGGGGAAGGGAACACUGGAGUCAGGUGGUUGGCCCCUGGAACCCACAUUCUUACCACGUUCUCCUGCAUUCAGUCAUGGAACUUCUCACUCAGCUCAAUUUUGGCAUGAGUCACCUCAAAUGGGGUGCAGGGGCUUUUUUUUUUUUUGAGAUGGAGUCUCGCUGUCGCCCAGGCUGGAGGGCAGUGGCGCGAUCUCGACUCACUGCAAGCUCC
rnacentral:lncRNA from 1 species